rnacentral:rRNA from 1 species
AGAGUUUGAUCAUGGCUCAGAAUCAACGCUGGCGGCGUGCCUCAGACAUGCAAGUCGAACGAUUAAAGCCCUCUUCGGAGGGUGUAUAAAGUGGCGCACGGGUGAGUAACACGUAAGUAAUCUACCCUCGGGUGGGGAAUAACAACCGGAAACGGUUGCUAAUACCGCAUAAUGCAGCGGCUCCUUAUGGAGACAGUUGUUAAAGGAUUUAUUCGCCUGAGGAGGAGCUUGCGGCAAAUUAGCUAGUUGGUAAGGUAAUGGCUUACCAAGGCUACGAUCUGUAGCCGGUCUAAGAGGACGGUCGGUCACACUGACACUGAAUAACGGGUCAGACUCCUACGGGAGGCAGCAGUCGGGAAUUUUGGGCAAUGGGCGAAAGCCUGACCCAGCAACGCCGCGUGAAGGAUGAAGUAUUUCGGUAUGUAAACUUCGAAAGAAUAGGAAGAAUUAAUGACGGUACUAUUUAUAAGGUCCGGCUAACUACGUGCCAGCAGCCGCGGUAAUACGUAGGGACCAAGCGUUGUUCGGAUUUACUGGGCGUAAAGGGCGCGUAGGCGGCAUGACAAGUCACUUGUGAAAUCUCUGGGCUUAACUCAGAACGGCCAAGUGAUACUGUCGCGCUAGAGUGCAGAAAGGGCAAUCGGAAUUCUUGGUGUAGCGGUGGAAUGCGUAGAUAUCAAGAGGAACACCUGAGGCGAAGGCGGGUUGCUAGGCUGACACUGACGCUGAGGCGCGAAAGCCAGGGGAGCAAACG